CUACGGGAGGCAGCAGUGAGGAAUAUUGCACAAUGGGGGGAACCCUGAUGCAGCAACGCAGCGUGGAGGAUGACGCAUUUCGGUGUGUAAACUCCUUUUAUAUGUCAAGAAAAUGACGGUAGCAUAUGAAUAAGCACCGGCUAACUCCGUGCCAGCAGUCGCGGUAAUACGGAGGGUGCAAGCGUUACUCGGAAUCACUGGGCGUAAAGGACGCGUAGGCGGGUUGGAAAGUCAGGUGUGAAAUCCUACAGCUUAACUGUAGAACUGCACUUGAAACUUCUAAUCUAGAGUAUGGGAGGGGGAGAUGGAAUUAGUGGUGUAGGGGUAAAAUCCGUAGAUAUCACUAGGAAUACCUAAAGCGAAGGCGAUCUCCUGGAACAUUACUGACGCUAAGGCGUGAAAGCGUGGGGAGCAAACAGGAUUAGAUACCCUGGUAGUC
rnacentral:rRNA from 1 species